AACCUCAAAAAACUAGUCAUUCGGAAUUCUGAAAGACCACAGCACUCUAUGUCUACUUCUAUUAUAGAUUCAUAUUUGACCAUAAUUAUUUAUUUCAACAUUUCUCUGCACUACCAGACUUUGAGUUCCCUGGAACUAAAAAUAUUGCUUGGACCUCACGCUGUACCUGAAUACCUGAGAGGGAACAAAUUCUACCAGUUGCUGUUGGAAGCAAAAGAUCUUUUUCAUUCUUGGAUGCUUUAUAUUUGGACAGAGAAAGAAUCAGAAUCCAUCCUUCUUUUUCCUAACCGGAAUUUGAGAGACAUGAGAAGGGAACUAAACACACAGGCUUCAGGAUCUGGUGGAAAGAGAUAAGGUGUCUCAACGACUGUUGGCCUCAUCAAGAGAUACUACCCCUGAUCUUUUCAUUUCACUUUCCUCGGGUCUGCCUAAACUCAGUGUCUCUCCUAGAAAACCACCCAACUCAUGAAAAACUGUUUGUAAGAAAAUGUUCUCAACACAAAGAAAUAAUAAAGGUUUGAGAUGAUAAAUAUGCUAAAAAAAAA
rnacentral:lncRNA from 1 species